rnacentral:misc_RNA from 1 species
GAUGAAGAACGCAGCGAAAUGCGAUACUUGGUGUGAAUUGCAGAAUCCCGUGAACCAUCGAGUCUUUGAACGCAAGUUGCGCCCGAAGCCAUUAGGCCGAGGGCACGCCUGCCUGGGCGUCACACGUCGUUGCCCCCCCCCAUCUACUCCUUCGGGAUUGCGGGGGGCGGAUGAUGGCCUCCCGUGCGCCUCGCCGCGCGGUUGGCAUAAAUGCCAAGUCCUCGGCGACGCACGCCACGACAAUCGGUGGUUGCGAAACCUCGGUUGCCCGUCGUGUGCGGUCGUCGCGCAUCGAGGGCUCGAAAAAAUUGCCGGGUUCCGGCUCGGCUUUCAACGCGACCCCAGGUCAGGCGGGGUUACCCGCUGAAUUUAAGCAUAUCAAUAAGCGGAGGA